rnacentral:rRNA from 1 species
CCUACGGGUGGCAGCAGUGGGGAAUAUUGGACAAUGGGCGAAAGCCUGAUCCAGCCAUGCCGCGUGUGUGAAGAAGGCCUUCGGGUUGUAAAGCACUUUCAGUGGGGAAGAAAGCCUUGGGGCUAAUACCCUCGAGGAAGGACAUCACCCACAGAAGAAGCACCGGCUAACUCCGUGCCAGCAGCCGCGGUAAUACGGAGGGUGCGAGCGUUAAUCGGAAUUACUGGGCGUAAAGCGCGCGUAGGCGGUCUGAUAAGCCGGUUGUGAAAGCCCCGGGCUCAACCUGGGAACGGCAUCCGGAACUGUCAGGCUAGAGUGCAGGAGAGGAAGGUAGAAUUCACGGUGUAGCGGUGAAAUGCGUAGAGAUCGGGAGGAAUACCAGUGGCGAAGGCGGCCUUCUGGACUGACACUGACGCUGAGGUGCGAAAGCGUGGGUAGCAAACAGGAUUAGAUACCCCAGUAGUC